UACGGAGGGUGCAAACGUUGCUCGGAAUCAUUGGGCGUAAAGCGCACGUAGGCGGACCGCUAAGUCGGAUGUGAAAGCCCUCGGCUUAACCGAGGAAGUGCAUUCGAAACUGACGGUCUUGAGUAUGGAAGAGGGUCGCGGAAUUCCCGGUGUAGAGGUGAAAUUCGUAGAUAUCGGGAGGAACACCAGUGGCGAAGGCGGCGACCUGGGCCAAUACUGACGCUGAGGUGCGAAAGCGUGGGGAGCAAGCAGG
rnacentral:rRNA from 1 species